rnacentral:rRNA from 1 species
GACGAACGCUGGCGGCGUGCUUAACACAUGCAAGUCGAACGGAAAGGCCCUGCUUUUGUGGGGUGCUCGAGUGGCGAACGGGUGAGUAACACGUGAGUAACCUGCCCUUGACUUUGGGAUAACUUCAGGAAACUGGGGCUAAUACCGGAUAGGAGCUCCUGCUGCAUGGUGGGGGUUGGAAAGUUUCGGCGGUUGGGGAUGGACUCGCGGCUUAUCAGCUUGUUGGUGGGGUAGUGGCUUACCAAGGCUUGGACGGGUAGCCGGCCUGAGAGGGUGGCCGGCCACAUUGGGACUGAGAUACGGACCAGACUGCUACGGGAGGCAGCAGUGGGGAAUAUUGCACAAUGGGCGGAAGCCUGAUGCAGCAACGCCGCGUGCGGGAUGACGGCCUUCGGGUUGUAAACCGCUUUCGCCUGUGACGAAGCGUGAGUGACGGUAAUGGGUAAAGAAGCACCGGCUAACUACGUG